UAGCGAACUGUGCAAACGUUAUUCGGAAUCACUGGGCUUAAAGGGUGCGUAGGCGGCUAUCUAAGCAGGGUGUGAAAGCCCCCGGCUCAACCGGGGAAUUGCGUUCUGAACUGGAUGGCUGGAGUGGGAUAGGGGUGUGGUGGAACGUUCCGGUGGAGCGGUGAAAUGUGUUGAUAUCGGAAGGAACGCCGGUGGCGAAAGCGACACACUGGGUCUUCAACUGACGCUGAGGCACGAAAGC
rnacentral:rRNA from 1 species